CCCUGGAGACAGAAGGUCCACAAAGGCAGGGGGCUCUGUGUGCUCCGUGCAUUCCCGUGGCCCAACGCUGACCUCUGUCCUUAUUCCAUAAAUAUCUGUGGAAGAAUGAAUGAAUGAAUGAAUGAGCCAUAGGAGAAAGAGUUUUUCCUCAUUGAAAGGUGGGGCUCUGAGAGCGGCUAGCCUUGGAGAGGUGCUCACUUGCCUUGGGCCUGGACGGUUUCCUUGGGGCAGCCCCCAAAGUACAUUUACUGGGCCUGGGAGCGUGUUCUUCCUAAGGCUCCGGAUACACAGCACCGCAUGCCGACUUCCACCCAGGCGAUGUUCAUUUCCGCUCGCCCUGGACGGAGGCGUCCAUUCACCCAACCGCCGUCUUCUGGUUUAAGAACCAAAAUUUGACAAUUUUGCACAACUGGCACUCCCUGACGUGGCCCCGCUCCCCCUGUCACCACUGUGCAUGCUCCGAGACGAAACGUCAGGGCUCAGUGCCCCCUUCCGUGGAUCAAGUCUCCAAAAGCCAAUAUUGGGCCCCAACCAUGCCCUUCUAGGCAUUUAAAACUAGCAGCGAGUGACGAGGGAGCCCAUGCCAAGUCUGUCACCAGCAAGCCAGCACCUCCGGCAUCCGGGCUGUGCCAAGCUGAACCUCCCCCACGCGGCUCAGCACCAGCCAGGGCUGAGCAAAGCCCGGCUCCUGCCAGCAGUUGUUACUGGAAGUUUAUGCAAAACCAAACCGCAGAAACAAUCUCCCCCAGCCGGGAUCCUGUUUCCUCUUCCUGACAACCCUAAGAUUUAGCCCAGGCGGGUGAUCGGGGAGGGCUCUGGGGGGUAGGGGUGAGAUGAAGAAACCGCCUGAGCUCCGUGGUUAGGCCAAGGUGGUGGGGGCUGGAGCCCGCCCUCGGGCGAUGUUUGUGCUCCACAAGGCGGCCUCACUGCUCCGAUGGCAGCCACUGGGACGCCCCCGGAAGCCGGCUGACGCCAGGGGCCAGUCACACUCCCAGACGCAACCACGUAAAGGGUGAGCCAGCGCGGGUUGAUCAGCAGCCCUCUCUAUGGUAUGACCAGCAACGUUGACAGGAGUGACUUUAUUUUUAAAAUAUAAAUGAGAAGCCAUCCAAGAUUCUCCCCAUAUUUUCCUCUCUCCCCACAUCCUUGGAUACUUUCUUCAAUAGCAAGAAAUAUGGCGGUGGAGUUAUCGAGCUUGGGGCCAAACUCAGCCCAGAGGUCUCGUGUGAACCUCACCCUGAACACAGGAGGCGGGGAAUAGCUUCAUAUCCACAAGGUUCUCUGUGACAUUCUAUUUUUUUGUUUCUUUUUUUAGAGACAGACAGACAGCGCAAGUGGGGGAGAGGGGCAAAGGACAGAGAGAGGGAGAGAGAAUCUUAAGCAGACUCCACCCUCAGCCCGGAGCGCAAAAGGGGGCUCGAUCUAAUGACCCCAGGAUCACGACCUGAGCUGAAAUCAAGAGUUGGAUGCUUCACCCACCGAGCCACCCAGGCACCCCUAGUGACAUUCUAUUUUUAAAUCCCUGCUUCUAAAAGGGGGCAUCAUGGGGCAUCAUGGUUCCUAAGCGUGUCAGCGGAAAGAUUAGACUUGCCUUGAAAGUCUGCCCUUCCUGUUUUUCGUCUUUCCACAUGAGGAGGUAAUGAAAACAAAUUUCAAAAACAUGUCAAAGGGGAAAGUCAGUUUCUGAGACCCACGGUCCUGGCCUCCCCGACCAGAGUCGGUACCCAGGAUGGCGAGAAGAGGAAGGUGACAGUGGCUCAAAA